rnacentral:rRNA from 1 species
ANCAUGCAAGUCGAGCGGGGAAGUGUAGCUUGCUACAUUACCUAGCGGCGGACGGGUGAGUAAUGCUUAGGAAUCUGCCUAUUAGUGGGGGACAACAUUCCGAAAGGAAUGCUAAUACCGCAUACGUCCUACGGGAGAAAGCAGGGGAUCUUCGGACCUUGCGCUAAUAGAUGAGCCUAAGUCGGAUUAGCUAGUUGGUGGGGUAAAGGCCUACCAAGGCGACRAUCUGUAGCGGGUCUGARAGGAUGAUCCGCCACACUGGGACUGAGACACGGCCCAGACUCCUACGGGAGGCAGCAGUGGGGAAUAUUGGACAAUGGGCGGAAGCCUGAUCCAGCCAUGCCGCGUGUGUGAAGAAGGCCUUUUGGUUGUAAAGCACUUUAAGCGAGGAGGAGGCUACUCUAGUUAAUACCUAGAGAUAGUGGACGUUACUCGCAGAAUAAGCACCGGCUAACUCUGUGCCAGCAGCCGCGGUAAUACAGAGGGUGCGAGCGUUAAUCGGAUUUACUGGGCGUAAAGCGUGCGUAGGCGGCUGAUUAAGUCGGAUGUGAAAUCCCUGAGCUUAACUUAGGAAUUGCAUUCGAUACUGGUCAGCUAGAGUAUGGGAGAGGAUGGUAGAAUUCCAGGUGUAGCGGUGAAAUGCGUAGAGAUCUGGAGGAAUACCGAUGGCGAAGGCAGCCAUCUGGCCUAAUACUGACGCUGAGGUACGAAAGCAUGGGGAGCAAACAGGAUUAGAUACCCUGGUAGUCCAUGCCGUAAACGAUGUCUACUAGCCGUUGGGGCCUUUGAGGCUUUAGUGGCGCAGCUAACGCGAUAAGUAGACCGCCUGGGGAGUACGGUCGCAAGACUAAAACUCAAAUGAAUUGACGGGGGCCCGCACAAGCGGUGGAGCAUGUGGUUUAAUUCGAUGCAACGCGAAGAACCUUACCUGGUCUUGACAUAGUAAGAACUUUCCAGAGAUGGAUUGGUGCCUUCGGGAACUUACAUACAGGUGCUGCAUGGCUGUCGUCAGCUCGUGUCGUGAGAUGUUGGGUUAAGUCCCGCAACGAGCGCAACCUUUUCCUUAUUUGCCAGCGGGUUAAGCCGGGAACUUUAAGGAU